UGUAUGAUUUGCAUGGACACGCCCUCCUUCUCUACGAGGCUCCGCCCCUCUCGCUCCCAUCGCCACCUCCAGCACCAUCUUCCAGCUGGGCUUCGAGCGGGCGCUGCGGAAGCAGAACAAGGAGCAAGUGCCCCCGGCUGCGGCCCCGGAGCCGCCGCAGCGGAAGCAGCACCCGGGGAAGAGCGGGAAGAAGCCGUCGGGCAAUGCCACCAGCACCAAGGCGGGCAGGAGCCGCUCGCUGGAGGAGGCCCUGCGAGCUCUGGACCUGGCAGAUCUGCAGAAGGAGCUGGAGAAGAGCCGGAGCGUGUUCCCCGAGAACCCCUCCGUGUGGGUGAAGGACCUGGCCGGGUACCUCAACUACAAGCUGCAGGCACCCCAGAGCGACCCCGUGCUGAGCCAGCACCCCCACGACUAUCCAUACAGCCUGGCGAGCAAGGAGCUGAGGAGCAUCAUCCGGACCCUGCUGGGAAGGGCGUCGGGAGUGCUGGAGCUCUUCUUCGACCACUGCAUCUACACCAUGCUCCAGGAGCUGGACAAGGCCCCGGGGGAGUCACUGCAUGGAUACAGGAUCUGCAUCCAGGCACUGCUCCUGGAC
rnacentral:lncRNA from 1 species